rnacentral:rRNA from 1 species
GACGAACGCUGGCGGCGUGCUUAACACAUGCAAGUCGAACGGAAAGGCCCUGCUUUUGUGUGGUUCCCGAGUGGCGAACGUGUGUAAAACCUGGGAGUCUCCUUCCCUGUACGUGGGGACAACUUCAGAAAAGUGGGGCUAACACCUGAUAGGAGCUCCUGCAGGAGGGGGGGGGUUGGAACUUUUAGGCGGUGGUGGAUGUACGUCGGGGUUAUCAGCUUGUUGGGUGGGUAGCGGCUUACCAAGCCUUUGGCGGGUAGCCGGCCUGGGAGGGUGACCGGCGACAUUGGGACUGAGAUACGGCGCAGACUCCAACGGGAGGCAGCAGUGGGAAGUAUUACACAAUGGGCGCAAGCGUGAUGCAGAAACGCCGCGUGCGGGAUGAAGGCCUUCGGGGUGUAAACCGCAUUAGGCUGUGACGAAGCGUGAGUGACGGUAAUGGGUGAAGAAGCACCGGCUAACUACGUG